rnacentral:miRNA from 1 species
UAUGGCUGAGUAAAACUCCAUUGUAUGUGUGUGUGUGUGUAUAUAUAUAUAUACACACACACACACAUACAAUGGAGUUUAUAUAUA